rnacentral:rRNA from 1 species
GCAGCCGCCGCGGUAAUACAGAGGUCUCAAGCGUUGUUCGGAUUCAUUGGGCGUAAAGGGUGCGUAGGCGGUCGGGUAAGUCGGAUGUGAAAUCCUGGGGCUCAACCUCAGAACUGCAUUCGAUACUGCCUGGCUAGAGGACUGGAGAGGAGACUGGAAUUCACGGUGUAGCAGUGAAAUGCGUAGAUAUCGUGAGGAAGACCAGCGGCGAAGGCGGGUCUCUGGACAGUUCCUGACGCUGAUGCACGAAGGCCAGGGGAGCAAACGGGAUUAGAUACCCCAGUAGUCCCUGUCUCUUAUAC